UGAGCGGUAGCUCAGUGGUACAGCCCCGCUUCGUACGCUGAAAGACCUGGGUUCGAUUCCCGGCUGCUUAC
rnacentral:tRNA from 1 species